rnacentral:rRNA from 1 species
GCGAGUGAACCGGGAAGAGCUCAAAUUUGAAAUCUGGCGUCCUCAGGGCGUCCGAGUUGUAAUCUAUAGAGGCGUUUUCCGUGCCGGACCGUGUCCAAGUUCCUUGGAACAGGAUAUCAAAGAGGGUGACAAUCCCGUACUUGACACGACGACCGGUGCUCUGUGAUACGUCUUCUACGAGUCGAGUUGUUUGGGAAUGCAGCUCAAAAUGGGUGGUGAGUUCCAUCUAAAGCUAAAUAUUGGCGAGAGACCGAUAGCGAACAAGUACCGUGAGGGAAAGAUGAAAAGCACUUUGGAAAGAGAGUUAAACAGUACGUGAAAUUGUUGAAAGGGAAACGAUUGAAGUCAGUCGUGACCGAGAGGCUCAGCCGGUUCUGCCGGUGUAUUCCCCUCGGUCGGGUCAACAUCAGUUUUGUCCGGUGGAUAAGGGCGGUAGGAAGGUGGCACCCUCGGGUGUGUUAUAGCCUGCCGUCGCAUACAUCGGGUGAGACUGAGGAACGCAGCUCGCCUUUAUGGCCGGGGUUCGCCCACGUCCGAGCUUAGGAUGUUGACAUAAUGGCUUUAAACGACCCGUCUUGAA